AUUCUACUCCCUCUGUUGCACAAUACAUGCCUUCUAUUUGUGAAAAUAUAUAUAUGUAUCUAGACAUGUCUUAGUAUAUAGGUACAUCCAUUUUUGGACAAAUGGAAGUCAAGUAUUUUGGAACGGAGGGAGUACACA
rnacentral:pre_miRNA from 1 species